rnacentral:rRNA from 1 species
UGGGGAAUAUUGGACAAUGGGCGCAAGCCUGAUCCAGCAAUGCCGCGUGAGUGAUGAAGGCCUUAGGGUUGUAAAGCUCUUUCGCACGCGACGAUGAUGACGGUAGCGUGAGAAGAAGCCCCGGCUAACUUCGUGCCAGCAGCCGCGGUAAUACGAAGGGGGCUAGCGUUGUUCGGAAUUACUGGGCGUAAAGGGCGCGUAGGCGGCCUGUUUAGUCAGAAGUGAAAGCCCCGGGCUCAACCUGGGAAUAGCUUCUGAUACUGGCAGGCUUGAGUUCCGGAGAGGAUGGUGGAAUUCCCCAGUGUAGAGGUGAAAUUCGUAGAUAUUGGGAAGAACACCGGUGGCGAAGGCGGCCAUCUGGACGGACACUGACGCUGAGGCGCGAAAGCGUGGGGAGCAAAACAGGAUUNGAUACCCUGGUAGUCCACGCCGUAAAACGAUGAAUGCUAGACGUCGGGGGUGCAAUCACUUCGGUGUCGCCGCUAACGCAUUAAGCAUUCCGCCUGGGGAGUACGGCCGCAAGGUUAAAACUCAAAGGAAUUGACGGGGUCAUAGCUGUUUCCU